GGCUGGUAAGAACUGACUCGGUCUGAUCCUCUGUCAUCUCCCCCACCUGCCCCUACUGGCCCCACACAUCCCUUUCACUGACUCCCACUUUCCCCACUGCCCCUGGAUGUCUUCACUGGUCCUCACCCGCUCCUCUUCCCCUAGUUGGACUGUUCUUCUCACUGGCCAUUCCCCCACAGGUGGACGUGGGACUUGGAGCCGGAGAGAAGGGAGAGCCUGGGGACCGAGGACAGGAGGGUCCACGAGGACCCAAGGGCGACCCUGGCCCCCCUGGAGCUUCUGGGGAGAGGGGCGUCAGUGGACUUCGGGGGCCUCCAGGCCCACAGGUGAGUGA
rnacentral:lncRNA from 1 species